rnacentral:lncRNA from 1 species
GGCACUGCCUAGGUGGGCCGGGCGGUGCGAGGGUCGCCUUUCAGCCUUUACCUCUACCCACUGAAAUGGAGUAGGUCGGUGAGCGCCGAUCUGCUGGAGAAUCUCAUUAUCCCAUCGGCGCUCUGCCUGCUCCUGGCCUCCAAGCCUCUGAAGCCCCUCGGGUUUCAGCUGCCGGCUACCCUCGAGCCCGUGGUGCCCACGAGAGAGGCGACUUUACGUCAGCGGCCCUGGGCUGAGAUUUGAGAACGCGACCAAGUGGAGAAUGUUGGAGCCAGAUUUUAAAAUCCUUGUCUUCCUUCUGCGUGCUACUUGAUCUAAAUGAGAUACGGCAAAGUCACAGAACCUGUUUUUAUGUUUUUGCCUGAUUCAUACGGGCUUCUCCGGUGAAGAUGGGCCUGAAGUAACGCUUGGGUUGCUUCUGACGUUAUAACUCAUCCUGUAGCUGCAGCAACCGUGGUCCUUGCAACCUCAUAAAAAUGUUGCCAGCAUUGUUUCGAUAGUGCUGCUUAAUUCUUGGAAGGCCUCUUUGCUUUCUUCCCUGAGGUUCUUCGGACUUCACACAUUCCAGCAGUAGCUCUCUCAGCUCCUGUCCUGCACAGCUUUGAAGUGCUGGACACAGGACUGGGCUGUGGCCCUUGGCGAGCCUCCCAAGCUAUUCAGUGAUGUUAGACAACCCACUUACCUUCUCUGAAAUUUACUUUUCUUAUAUGUAAAAUGCAGCUAUUGUACAGGACACAGCCCUGGUGAUGGCUUUCUGAGGAUGACACGAUGGAGGCUUCUCCAAUAGCUCUAAAACUGCGGUGUGGAAAACAUUCGGCAGCCUCAAAGAGCGGUCUUGUUGACCCCAACUAUAUCAUUUUUCAUCAAAAUCAUUCUUGUAAAGAAUGACCAGGCAACACUCUUUGAAAAUUGGAGGCCAUUUGCAGCUGCUCUCUGUUGAGGAAAGUGAAUAAUAGGGUGCCCUCAAGGAAUUGCAAAGGUAUCACUCAACAGAAACUUUCGUGUCUGAAGAAAACUAGAUCAUUUUAUCAUGGUAGGCAUGCUGAUAUGUUUGCUUUAAUAAAAUGCCAUAUUUCUGCCUUUAAUCUCUUGUCAACCCGCUAUUAAAAAGCCCCAAAGUGCAUGUGUGCAGCGCAUGUAAACACUUGUGGUUUUGAGGUUACCACAGAACAUACUAAUAAAGCAUGUAAUUUGUGUUUUGUGC